ensembl:processed_transcript
AGUUUGGCAACCCUGAAUGCACAGUGAAAGAGCAUCAAUGAUGGAUAAGUCAAUUCAUAAAAUAUCCAAUGGAAAACCUACAAUUCCACAAAAACCCAUCCUUCCACCAAAACCAAACCUGAAAACUUUACACAAGACAAGCCAAUUGGCUUCUUCUAGCAGAGUGGCUCAGGUUUUGCAUAACUUUGAACCAGGAAUGGACAAUCAAAUGGCAUUAAACUGCACAAGGAAAGACAGAAGAUAUUCCAAAGAUAUAAGCCAAGAUGAAAAGCAUUUGGGAGUUGAAGCUAGAUUGCAAUGUCCUACCUCAACAGAUGACAAGGCAUUGGAUAUACCCUCAGUUACAAAAAGUGAACAUAAAGAAUUAGAGGUAAAACUGAAGGCAGAUGAAAUAAAUCAUCAACUGGCAGUGGAUGCAGGUCGUUCAGCUCCUGAUGGCAGUGAAGUGAAUAACUCUGUAAGUGGCAACUCAGACAUUUGUCAAGACUCAACAGCACCACCUACCAUGUCAGAAGAGAAACACUGCCAUUGUGUUUGCCACCUUCAAAGGCCUGGUAUGAAACUGGUCUGGGUACCUCUACAGGAAGAGAAUAAUUAUCUGGAUACAGUGAAUGAAAAGUGUAAUAGACAUCAAAACAGUGGAAGACAGAGAACUAAACUUCAAAAAAAGGAAGGUGUUUUACACCUAACCAGUAAUGAAGUUGGAAAGCUGGAGAAUAGAACCACUCACCAUUCAAAACCCAUUCAAGAAUUACCACCAUGCAUAAAUUGCCAAAGCUUUUUAUAUCACCACAGCCCUCACAAAUUAGCAUUAAAGAGAUUUGCAUAUGCUGAGGAGCCUAUUCAAAACCACUCAAAACCCCCUCUACCUCCAAGGACUUAUCAGUCCUCCAAGUAUCAAAAUAUCAAACAAUAUGCACAGCACACUGAUGCCAA